CAAUAGCGUAUAUUUAAGUUGUUGCAGUUAAAAAGCUCGUAGUUGGAUUUCUGGUCGGAAGCUCCUGUCCUCUGAUGAGUGUACAAGUGCGUCCUACCAUCCUUCUGUUAACCUUUAAGGCUUUCGCGGCUUUCUAGGGGCUCAGAUAUUUUACCUUGAGAAAAUUAGAGUGUUUCAGGCAGGCUAGCGCCGGAAUACAUUAGCAUGGAAUAAUGGAAUAGGACUUUUGCCUCUUCUGUUGGUCAUGAGGCUCGAGUAAUGAUUAAUAGGGAUAGUUGGGGGCAUUAGUACUUAACUGUCAGAGGUGAAAUUCUUGGAUUUGUUAAAGACGAACUAGUGCGAAAGCAUUAACCAAGGAUGUUUUCAUUGA
rnacentral:rRNA from 1 species